rnacentral:rRNA from 1 species
UACGGAAGGCAGCAGUAGGGAAUAUUGGGCAAUGGAGGCAACUCUGACCCAGCCAUGCCGCGUGGAGGAUGAAGGCGCUCAGCGUUGUAAACUUCUUUUAACUGGGAAGAACGAGCAGGGUGCGCCCUGUUGUGACGGUACCAGUGGAAUAAGCACCGGCUAACUCCGUGCCAGCAGCCGCGGUAAUACGGAGGGUGCAAGCGUUGUCCGGGAUUUAUUGGGUUUAAAGGGUGCGUAGGUUGGGAUCAUAAGUCUGGUUUUGAAAGCUGGUGGCUCAACCAUCAGAUGUGGCUGGAAACUGUGGUUCUUGAAUGGCGUAGCGGCAGCCGGAAUGGGUCAUGUAGCGGUGAAAUGCAUAGAUAUGACCCGGAACACCGAUUGCGAAGGCAGGGCUACUGGGGCGUCGAUUUGGACACUGAGGCACGAGAGCAUGGGGUA